UGGCACCACCCAGACAAGCGGCGAGCAGCUGGGGAGGAGGUGAGGGAUGACGAUGACUACUUCACCUGCAUCACCAAAGCCUAUGAGAUUCUCGGGGACCCCAAUCAAGCGACGCUCCUGGGACUCGGUGGACCCAGAGUUUGAUGACGAGGUGCCGGCUGUCAGUGCACACAAUAAGGCAAACUUCUUCCAGAUUUUCACGGGUGUUUGAGUGCAAUGCUCGUUGGUCCACCCACAAGCACGUUCCUGGCUUGGGCAAACCUGAUGACACCAAACAAAAGGUUGAUCGCUUCUAUGGAUUCUGGUACGACUUUGAUUCCUGGCGAGAGUUUUCAUAUCUGGAGAUGAGGAGGAAAAGGAGAA